UAGGCCCACGAUUUCAGAGAAAAUUACUUCAAAAAGUACACCAGUACAAAGAUGAUGAGGGUAACAAUAUCUUGCAUUACGCUGGAAUGUCGCCUCCAUCAGAUAAGCUCGAUACUAUUUCAGGAGUAGCUUUUCAGCUGCAGCAGGAGUUAUUAUGGUUUCAGGAAGUGAAUAAGAUUGUGAAUCCAUUGGUUGCGGAAGCUAAAAAU